rnacentral:rRNA from 1 species
AGAGUUUGAUCCUGGCUCAGAUUGAACGCUGGCGGCAGGCUUAACACAUGCAAGUCGAGCGGGGAAAGUUGCUUCGGUAACUGACCUAGUGGCGGACGGGUGAGUAAUGCUUAGGAAUCUGCCUAUUAGUGGGGGACAACAUCUCGAAAGGGAUGCUAAUACCGCAUACGUCCUACGGGAGAAAGCAGGGGAUCUUCGGACCUUGCGCUAAUAGAUGAGCCUAAGUCGGAUUAGCUAGUUGGUGGGGUAAAGGCCUACCAAGGCGACGAUCUGUAGCGGGUCUGAGAGGAUGAUCCGCCACACUGGGACUGAGACACGGCCCAGACUCCUACGGGAGGCAGCAGUGGGGAAUAUUGGACAAUGGGGGGAACCCUGAUCCAGCCAUGCCGCGUGUGUGAAGAAGGCCUUUUGGUUGUAAAGCACUUUAAGCGAGGAGGAGGAGCUCUUGGUUAAUACCCAAGAUGCUUGGACGUUACUCGCAGAAUAAGCACCGGCUAACUCUGUGCCAGCAGCCGCGGUAAUACAGAGGGUGCAAGCGUUAAUCGGAUUUACUGGGCGUAAAGCGCGCGUAGGUGGCCAAUUAAGUCAAAUGCGAAAUCCCCGAGCUUAACUUGGGAAUUGCAUUCGAUACUGGUUGGCUAGAGCAUGGGAGAGGAUGGUAGAAUUCCAGGUGUAGCGGUGAAAUGCGUAGAGAUCUGGAGGAAUACCGAUGGCGAAAGCAGCCAUCUGGCCUAAUACUGACACUGAGGUGCGAAAGCAUGGGGAGCAAACAGGAUUAGAUACCCUGUAGUCCAUGCCGUAAACGAUGUCUACUAGCCGUUGGGGCCUUUGAGGCUUUAGUGCGCAGCUAACGCGAUAAGUAGACCGCCUGGGGAGUACGGUCGCAGACUAAACUCAAAGGAAUUGACGG